rnacentral:rRNA from 1 species
ACUGCUCAGUAACACGUGGACAACCUGCCCUUUAGGUUGGGUAUAAACCCGGGAAACUGGGUAUAAUACCCGAUAGGUCUCGAUUGCUGGAAUGCAUCGAGAUUUAAAGCUCCGGCGCCUAAGGAUGGGUCUGCGGCCUAUCAGGUAGUAGUGGGUGUAGCGUACCUACUAGCCUACGACGGGUACGGGUUGUGAGAGCAAGAGCCCGGAGAUGGAUUCUGAGACACGAAUCCAGGCCCUACGGGGUGCAGCAGGCGCGAAAACUUUACAAUGCUGGCAACAGCGAUAAGGGAACCUCGAGUGCCAGGUUACAAAUCUGGCUGUCGAGAUGCCUAAAAAGCAUUUCAUAGCAAGGGCCGGGCAAGACCGGUGCCAGCCGCCGCGGUAACACCGGCGGCUCGAGUGGUAACUGUUAUUAUUGGGUCUAAAGGGUCUGUAGCCGGCCGGAUAAGUCUCUUGAGAAAUCUGGCAGCUUAACUGUCAGGCUUUCAGGAGAUACUGUCUGGCUCGAGGCCGGGAGAGGUGAGAGGUACUUCAGGGGUAGGGGUGAAAUCUUGUAAUCCUUGAAGGACCACCAGUGGCGAAGGCGUCUCACCAGAACGGACCUGACGGCAAGGGACGAAAGCUAGGGGCACGAACCGGAUUAGAUACCCGGGUAGUCCUAGCCGUAAACGAUACUCGCUAGGUGUCGGCCACGGUGCGACCGUUGUCGGUGCCGUAGGGAAGCCGUGAAGCGAGCCACCUGGGAAGUACGGCCGCAAGGCUGAAACUUAAAGGAAUUGGCGGGGGAGCAC